AAGGGUAUAGCUCAGUGGUAGAGCGCAUGUUUAGCAUGCAUGAGGUCCUGGGUUCAAUCCCCAGAUCCUCC
rnacentral:tRNA from 1 species